UAAGAAGAACGACCUUCUGUAGAAGC
rnacentral:piRNA from 1 species